UAUGUGAUCGUCUCUCGCAUAUCAAUAAGCGGAGGAAAAGAAAUUAACAAAGAUUGCCUUAGUAAGGGCGACUGAACCGGCAAUAGCUCGAAAUUGAAAUCGGAGAUUCAAAGAAUCUUCGAAUUGUAAUAAGAAUCGCCAAAAUACGGAAGUGCGCUUAAUCUGGUCGAAUCCAGAGCCAAAGAGAGUGCAAGCCUCGUGUAGUGUAUUUCCGAAACAGGGGAUUCAUCAAAGAGUCAGGUUGCUUGGAACUGCAGCCUUAGGUGGGAGAUAUGAAUCUUCCAAAGCUAAAUAUAGAUAGGAGACCGAUAGCGAACAAGUACUGUGAAGGAAAGAUGAAAAGGACUUUGAAAAGAGAGUUAAACAGUACGUGAAAUUGUCAAAAGGGAAGCGUUUGACACCAGUGUUGUUUUUCUGAAAAUCAAUUAAAGAACUGUUUAUGCUAAGUUGUUUAGACUUUAUCAGCUAACUGUUUAGUUUUGAGCUUUUCUUUAAUGCACUUUUCAGUUAACAAGUCAACAUCAAUUUCUUUUGCUGUAAAAAAGCUUGAGGAAGGUGGCUUGAGAUUCGUCUUAAGUGUUUAUAGCCUCUUGCCUAUGCAGUCGGAGAGAUUGAGGUCUGCAGCGUAGAUCCUUCGGGGCUAAAUGCAUUUGUGCUAAGUUAUAGCAUUUUAUAGACAACUUGUUGACUAUGAUUUGUCUUGUAGCUUACUCGCUUACGUUAUUUUACCUACGCUUAGGAUGUUGAUCUCUCACAGUCGAGC
rnacentral:rRNA from 1 species